CUCUUUCGCCCUUUGGAACAGCGUCGCCUCACCGUUGUCUGUUCCUGACGGUGUGGUCCCUUCGCACACCGCGGCGUCCAUCACCUGCCGCGAGGGCUCUGAUUCCCCAACCGCCUGCCACCGUACGAUCCCCCGAGAAGAUGACGGCAGCGACUCCGACUCCGACGCCCAGAAGAGCCUCAACCAGAGGAAGCGCGAGGCUCGGCCGCGAUGUCCCCUGGGGCAUGGGGUUCGCUUCCUUUCCCAUCCCCAAAUCAAGGGCAUCCUCAGAUACUACUGGGAAAAAAGAUGUGUCUUGGAGGCAGCGCGAUUUUGAGCUUUCACGGCCUUUGUGGAUAUAAUGAUGUUCAAUAACGUUGCACUGUAGAUUCAUUAUCCUUUCUUUUAAAAGGGGAAUUGCAGAGUGGCUUCUCUGGAGUCAAGCGGCGUUGGACGCUCAGAUGCUCACGAAGAGACCAGGACCGGAUGUCCGAGAACGAAAGCGAAGGCAUUUCAAUUUCAUUGGGAAGUUGCUGUGAGAAGUUGAACCGGAUUUAAUGGAUGCUUCAAUUGAGGCUACAAAAGAUAGUGACCACAGUAGGCUGCGAGCUUUAUCUGUAUCCAAGGUGUGGUUUGGCGAAGAUGACGAUGAAGGUGAAGAAGAUUUCGAGCAAGAAAAGAGGAGGAGAAAAGCAGAUAUGCUACGCGGGGAACGUACAUGGAGGGAGAAAGGAGUGUCGUGAGCGCUCAAGCAUAGCAAGCAGGUGGUUUGAUGGUUUAAUCAGUAAAGACAUUCAAUUGGCCAAUGAAGUUUUCUCCAUUGACACCAUUUAAUUUGACCGGCAAGGUCCAGUUGAAUCGUUCUACGGUUCAGUAUUAUGUAUGAACCGAGUACCAGGUGGAUGAUGGGGUGCUAGUUUUAAUUCGGUGCUGGGUUCAGUCCUGCGCAAUGGCUCAAAAGAGAAUAGUUAUGCUGCUAAACGUUAUUUACUUACCUUUACCUUUCCAUUGCCUGCUAAUUUCAUCAAUUCCGGAGAGUUAUAAGAGGAGCAAAAUAAUGCAAAUUGUUUGAUAGAAAAAAGAAAGAAAGGCAGGUUAAGCUCUGUUCUUAUAAAUAUUUAUUUUGACGCUCGGUUUGUGCUUUUGCAUUCGAAUCUACCUGGAUAAUAUUCAUGCUGGUGCCAUCCAUUACAGAUGUAGUUGAAUCCUAUACAAGUACAUAUGCACUGAACCCUUUUUCGCCUGGGAAGGUCGCGAGCGAAUGCAGCCUACCACAUUAAUACCAAUCGGCACACGAGCAUGCCUCAACGAUGCUCAACUUCCUCCACCAUCGUCCUCAUCAACUCAAGACCGCGAAGGACAUAAGAGUUGGUUCAAACAGAAAGUAAUGUGGAUAGAUUAUGCUUUUAGAAUUGUCAUUGGGAUCUUCGUAGCAUCCAUUACAUUUGAAAUAGGAAGACCCAAAUGGCUCUCACAAGGUGUGAGAAUGCUGGAGAGAACUGCGGCCCAGUGGAUGGAGAAGCCAAAGUGGAAGGCCAUCAAAUUUCAUAAACAGUGAAAUUGUUGAGAAGUUGUCUCUUUAAACCAUGUAAUGUAUGUUCAGUGAAUAAAGAUGUCACCUAAAUGGCUUCAAAUGACAUUUCCCUUAUGAAGGCUUGUUUUAAUGUCUUCUCCUUUUGUAUCUUGGUGUAAUUGUAUAUGAGUCGAUUUGAAAAGAUGAACAAUGAAAUUUGUCAAGCACUCAAGCUUAAAAGAAGAGAGCCAAAAAACAGGAAAAUGAAGCGAGAGCCAUUAUCCAGAUAUCUCUUUCGCUCUUUGGAACAACGUCCAUCACCGGCCGCAUCAACGGCCGCGCGGGCUCAGAUUCCCCGACUGCCCGCCGCCGUACGAUCCCCCGAGAAGAUGACGGCAGCGACUCCGACUCUGACGCCCAGAAGAGCCUCAACCAGAAGAAGCGCGAGGCUCGGCCGCGACGUCCCCUGGGGCAUGGAACUCGCUUCCUUUUCCCAUCUCCAGAUCCAAGCGCUUCCUCAGAUUCUACUGGGGAAAAAAGAUGUGUCCUGGAGGCGGCGCCAUUUUGAGCUUUCACGGGCUUCGUGGAUAUAAUGAUGUCCAAUAAUGUAGCACCGUAGAUUCAUUAUCGCUUUCUUUUUCAAAGGGGAA